CCUACGGGAGGCAGCAGUGAGGAAUAUUGGUCAAUGGACGAGAGUCUGAACCAGCCAAGUAGCGUGAAGGAUGACUGCCCUAUGGGUUGUAAACUUCUUUUAUAUGGGAAUAAAAUGUUCCACGUGUGGGAUUUUGUAUGUACCAUAUGAAUAAGGAUCGGCUAACUCCGUGCCAGCAGCCGCGGUAAUACGGAGGAUCCGAGCGUUAUCCUGAUUUAUUGGGUUUAAAGGGAGCGUAGGUGGAUUGUUAAGUCAGUUGUGAAAGUUUGCGGCUCAACCGUAAAAUUGCAGUUGAAACUGGCAGUCUUGAGUACAGUAGAGGUGGGCGGAAUUCGUGGUGUAGCGGUGAAAUGCUUAGAUAUCACGAAGAACUCCGAUUGCGAAGGCAGUUCACUGGACUGCAACUGACACUGAGGCUCGAAAGUGUGGGUAUCAAACAGGAUUAGAUACCCGUGUAGUC
rnacentral:rRNA from 1 species